GAACACCUAUUCUCGUACGAUCACCGAAGUUAAGCUCCGUCGAGCUUGGUCAGUAUCUACAUGGGUGAUCGCUUGGGAAUACCAGGUGAUGUAAG